rnacentral:rRNA from 1 species
AUUGAACGCUGGCGGCAUGCUUUACACAUGCAAGUCGAACGGUAACAGCACUUCGGUGGCUGACGGGUGGCGAACGGGUGAGUAAUACAUCGGAACGUGCCUAGUAGUGGGGGAUAACUACUCGAAAGAGUAGCUAAUACCGCAUGAGAUCUAAGGAUGAAAGCAGGGGACCUUCGGGCCUUGCGCUACUAGAGCGGCUGAUGGCAGAUUAGGUAGUUGGUGGGAUAAAAGCUUACCAAGCCGACGAUCUGUAGCUGGUCUGAGAGGACGACCAGCCACACUGGGACUGAGACACGGCCCAGACUCCUACGGGAGGCAGCAGUGGGGAAUUUUGGACAAUGGGCGCAAGCCUGAUCCAGCAAUGCCGCGUGCAGGAUGAAGGCCUUCGGGUUGUAAACUGCUUUUGUACGGAACGAAAAGCCCUCUUCUAAUACAGGAGGGUCAUGACGGUACCGUAAGAAUAAGCACCGGCUAACUACGUG